GAGCGGGCGGCUCGGCCGGCGGGGCGAGGGUGGUGGGCGGCAGCUUGUGCUGUGGCCGAGUCCCCGGAGGCUGGCGGGUUUCCUCCGGGGCUGCGGGACGUGGCAGGGCGGUGCCCCAUCAUACAGCGGGGAGGACGGGGGUGACAGCAGCGGCAUCUUUGGCGUCGCGGAAAUGGGCGCUGGAUUUCCCCCUUGCAUCUCUUUUUCCCGCUCCAGAGUGAGCGCGGAGACUGCAAGAAGGGUUUGGCAAGUGUAAUAUUAUGUCAUAGGUCUGGCAAAAACACUCCAAAUAACCUACUAAAACCCCUCUAUAGCUUGCAGUCCUGAAGGAAAAAAUAUCUUCACUGGAAGUUCUGAUAAACCUGAACAUGAACGGUGGGAGAAAAAUGCAAUCGUCACACCCCAGUUCACACUAGUCAACUAUUGUACUUCGGUUUCAUGGAAAAUGUUAUGGGACUCUCAGAGGCGGUGGCUGAUGGAGAUCCUAACCACUUCUGACAUGAAGAACAGACAGCUAAGAGCAUCACUCAGCACCACGCUGGGGAUUAAUCAUAAGCUACUGCUUGUCAUCUGUGCUGUUUGCUGCAAUGCCUUCCCUUGCAAUUCCAACAUGCAGUCAUGCAGCUGCCUGCUCAGCCUGCAACAUCACCUCUACAGAAGUAGA